AGUAACUGUUGACAUCGUGACGGUAUCCAACCAGAAAGCCACGGCUAACUACGUGCCAGCAGCCGCGGUAAUACGUAGGUGGCAAGCGUUGUCCGGAUUUAUUGGGCGUAAAGGGAACGCAGGCGGUCUUUUAAGUCUGAUGUGAAAGCCUUCGGCUUAACCGAAGUCGUGCAUUGGAAACUGGGGGACUUGAGUGCAGAAGAGGAGAGUGGAACUCCAUGUGUAGCGGUGAAAUGCGUAGAUAUAUGGAAGAACACCAGUGGCGAAAGCGGCUCUCUGGUCUGUAACUGACGCUGAGGUUCGAAAGCGUGGGUAGCAAACAGGAUUAGAUACCCUGGUAGUCCAUGCCGUAAACGAUGAGUGCUAAGUGUUGGAGGGUUUCCGCCCUUCAGUGCUGCAGCUAACGCAUUAAGCACUCCGCCUGGGGAGUACGACCGCAAGGUUGAAACUCAAAGGAAUUGACGGGGGCCCGCACAAGCGGUGGAGCAUGUGGUUUAAUUCGAUGCUACGCGAAGAACCUUACCAGGUCUUGACAUCUUCUGCUAACCUAAGAGAUUAGGCGUUCCCUUCGGGGACGGAAUGACAGGUGGUGCAUGGUUGUCGUCAGCUCGUGUCGUGAGAUGUUGGGUUAAGUCCCGCAACGAGCGCAACCCUUAUUGUCAGUUGCCAGCAUUCAGUUGGGCACUCUGGCGAGACUGCCGGUGACAAACCGGAGGAAGGUGGGGAUGACGUCAAAUCAUCAUGCCCCUUAUGACCUGGGCUACACACGUGCUACAAUGGACGGUACAACGAGUCGCGAAACCGCGAGGUCAAGCUAAUCUCUGAAAGCCGUUCUCAGUUCGGAUUGCAGGCUGCAACUCGCCUGCAUGAAGUUGGAAUCGCUAGUAAUCGUGGAUCAGCAUGCCACGGUGAAUACGUUCCCGGGCCUUGUACACACCGCCCGUCACACCAUGAGAGUUUGUAACACCCAAAGCCGGUGAGGUAACCUUCGGGGGCCAGCCGUCUAAGGUGGGACAGAUGAUUAGGGUGAAGUCGUAACAAGGUAGCCGUAGGAGAACCUGCGGCUGGAUCACCUCCUUUCUAA
rnacentral:rRNA from 1 species